GAUGAACGCUGGCGGCGUGCCUAAUACAUGCAAGUCGAGCGAACAGACGAGGAGCUUGCUCCUCUGACGUUAGCGGCGGACGGGUGAGUAACACGUGGAUAACCUACCUAUAAGACUGGGAUAACUUCGGGAAACCGGAGCUAAUACCGGAUAAUAUAUUGAACCGCAUGGUUCAAUAGUGAAAGACGGUUUUGCUGUCACUUAUAGAUGGAUCCGCGCCGCAUUAGCAAGUUGGUAAGGUAACGGCUUACCAAGGCAACGAUGCGUAGCCGACCUGAGAGGGGGAUCGGCCACACGGGAACUGAGACACGGUCCAGACCCCUACGGGGGGCAGCAGUAGGGAAUCUUCCGCAAUGGGCGAAAGCCUGACGGAGCAACGCCGCGGGAGUGAAGAAGGUCUUCGGAUCGUAAAACUCUGUUAUUAGGGAAAAACAAAUGUGUAAGUAACGAUGCACGUUUUGACGGUACCUAAUCAGAAAGCCACGGCUAACUACGU
rnacentral:rRNA from 1 species